UACAGGGGUCCCAAGCGUUGUCCGGAUUCACUGGGUUUAAAGGGAGCGUAGGUGGGCAUUUAAGUCAGUGGUGAAAUCCUGGAGCUUAACUCCAGAACUGCCAUUGAUACUAUUUGUCUUGAAUAUUGUGGAGGUAAGCGGAAUAUGUCAUGUAGCGGUGAAAUGCUUAGAUAUGACAUAGAACACCAAUUGCGAAGGCAGCUUGCUACACGGUCAUUGACACUGAGGCACGAAAGCGUGGGGAGCAAACAGG
rnacentral:rRNA from 1 species